rnacentral:rRNA from 1 species
GAUGAACGCUGGCGGCGUGCUUAACACAUGCAAGUCGAACGGAAAGGCCCCUGCUUGCUGGGGUACUCGAGUGGCGAACGGGUGAGUAACACGUGGGUAACCUGCCCUUCACUUUGGGAUAACCUCGGGAAACUGGGGCUAAUACCGGAUAGGACCACCUUUUGCAUGGUGGGGGGGAGAGUUUUUCGGCGGGUGGGGAUGGACUCGCGGCUUAUCAGCUUGUUGGUGGGGUAGUGGCCUACCAAGGCGUCGACGGGUAGCCGGCCUGAGAGGGUGUACGGCCACAUUGGGACUGAGAUACGGCCCAGACUCCUACGGGAGGCAGCAGUGGGGAAUAUUGCACAAUGGGCGCAAGCCUGAUGCAGCAACGCCGCGUGCGGGAUGACGGCCUUCGGGUUGUAAACUCCUUUCGCUAGUGACGAAGCGCGAGUGACGGUACCGGGUGAAGAAGCACCGGCUAACUACGUG